UACAGAGGUCCCAAGCGUUGUUCGGAUUCACUGGGCGUAAAGGGUGCGUAGGUGGUUGGGCAAGUCUGAUGUGAAAUCUCCGGGCUUAACCCGGAAAUGGCAUUGGAAACUGCCUGGCUAGAGUGUUGGAGGGGGGACUGGAAUUCUCGGUGUAGCAGUGAAAUGCGUAGAUAUCGAGAGGAACACCAGUGGCGAAGGCGGCAUCCUGGACCGACAUUGACGCUGAACGGCGAAAGCUAGGGGAGCAAACGGG
rnacentral:rRNA from 1 species